AACGUAGGACGCAAGCGUUAUCCGGAGUUACUGGGCGUAAAGCGCGGGCAGGCGGUUCUGCCAGUCUGAUGUGAAAUCUCUCAGCUCAACUGGGAGCAGCCAUUGGAAACUACAGAACUGGAGUCUGACAGAGGUAGGCGGAAUUCCGGGUGGAGUGGUGAAAUGCGCAGAUAUCAGGAGGAACACCAAUUGCGAAGGCAGCUCGCUGGAACGUAACUGACGCUGAGACGCGAAAGCGUGGGGAGCAAACAGG
rnacentral:rRNA from 1 species